rnacentral:lncRNA from 1 species
GAGUACACGUCAAGACAGCUCGAAUCUACCCAGAUAUCAUGGAACACGUAUUGUAGUCCAACUUAGAUUACUUUCCAUGUAACUUCCGAGUAGAUUAGAUUCAAACCAACUUGUGACUCUUGGCCAUCAGCCCAUAUAAGGUGGCCAACGGCACCCCCCGAGGGUAUCCCAACAAAUCACAUCAUCACAAUCAGAAAUACAAACCACGUAAUCAGGAUGUAGGGUAUUACUCUCCGGAGGCUCAAACCUAUCUAAAACCCUCAUGUCCCUUCGUGUUCUCACGAUCACCUUCGAGUUGUUGGUCUCACAAUCGCCCUCACCC